ACCUGGCAUAGCUCAGUCAGUAGAGUGUAAGAUUUCAUUCUGGGAUCAUGAGUUCGAGUCUCACGUUGGGCA